rnacentral:rRNA from 1 species
AGCGAACGCUGGCGGCAGGCUUAACACAUGCAAGUCGAACGCCCCGCAAGGGGAGUGGCAGACGGGUGAGUAACACGUGGGAACGUACCCUUUGGUUGGGAAUAACCUGGGGACACCCAAGCUCAUACCGGCUAAGCCCUUAUGGGGAACGGUUUACUGCCGAAGGAUCGGCCCGCGUCUGGUUAGGUAGUUGGUGAGGUAAUGGCUCACCAAGGCGACGGACAGUAGCUGGUCUGAGAGGAUGAUCAGCCAGACUGGGACUGAGACACGGGCCAGACUCCUGCGGGAGGCAGCAGUGGGGAAUAUUGGACAAUGGGGGCAACCCUGAUCCAGCCAUGCCGCGUGAGUGAUGAAGGCCUUAGGGUUGUAAAGCUCUGUUACCCAGGACGAUAAUGACUGUACCGGGAGAAUAAGCCCCGGCUAACUUCGUGCCAGCAGCCGCCGCAG